GACGAACGCUGGCGGCGUGCUUAACACAUGCAAGUCGAACGGAAAGGCCCUGCUUUUGUGGGGUGCUCGAGUGGCGAACGGGUGAGUAACACGUGAGUAACCUGCCCUUGACUUUGGGAUAACUUCAGGCAACUGGGGCUAAUACCGGAUAGGAGCUCCUGCUGCAUGGUGGGGGUUGGAAAGUUUCGGCGGUUGGGGAUGGACUCGGGGCUUAUCAGCUUGUUGGUGGGGUAGUGGCUUACCAAGGCUUUGACGGGUAGCCGGCCUGAGAGGGUGACCGGCCACAUUGGGACUGAGAUACGGCCCAGACUCCUACGGGAGGCAGCAGUGGGGAAUAUUGCACAAUGGGCGGAAGCCUGAUGCAGCAACGCCGCGUGCGGGAUGACGGCCUUCGGGUUGUAAACCGCUUUCGCCUGUGACGAAGCGUGAGUGACGGUAAUGGGUAAAGAAGCACCGGCUAACUACGUG
rnacentral:rRNA from 1 species